rnacentral:piRNA from 1 species
UGGACUAAAAUGAGCAGUUUCAAUCAUA